rnacentral:lncRNA from 1 species
UAUGUUCAUAUAAAAUCAAAAUCGCAGAAGAUCAUAUCUUUCGUCAUUGUCUAUCCAAUACAAUGAUCACGUAACUUGUGAGGCAUCUGAUCUUCUCUCUCCUCACUCUCCUACUUUAAUAUAGACGAUUGAUGGAGAAUCGUUCACAUCUUUCAUGAGAGUUAGAGAAAUGGACCAGACCACCUCUAUAUUUAUAUCUGCACUUAUCUCUCUCAUC